UAAACAUCAACACAACAACAACAACCCAACACAAUAUAUAUCUAUAUCAAAUGCUAUAUCAUCUACCAUUCCACUAUAGUGCCUUAUUCAAAAUUCAAAAGACAAGGUUUGAUAUGGUGUAUACUUGGCCCUUGGAUAUCUGAAUCAUAUUUCAUUCACCACAAGUGAUUAUGGAUUAGUAAACAAGUUUAUAGAGACAGGACUUUAGCCUAGCCCAAACUUUCCCUGGGGAAAGAAUAUCCUGGGACAAAACCUCCCCGGGGUAAGUUUGGCCUAGGCCACAUUCUCCCCGAGGAAAGUUUAGACCGGGGAAGAAAUGGCCUGCUACACCACUUCUACACAUG